rnacentral:rRNA from 1 species
AAACAACUCUCAGCAACGGAUAUCUNAUACGUAGUGUGAAUUGCAGAAUUCCGCGAAUCAUCGAGUCUUUGAACGCAAGUUGCGCCCGAGGCUUGUCCGAGGGCAUUUCCGCUAGAGCGUCACC